AGCGUCAUAACACCCCUCAAGCCCAGCUUGGUAUUGGGUCCUCGUCUCCCCCGGGGACGUGCCCGAAAGUCAGCGGCAAUGCGGCCGGUCCUCGAGCGUAGUAACUAUUCCGCUCUGAUGGCCCGGACGGAUCAGCCGGACAACCACCCCAUCUUUCAAUGGUUGACCUCGGAUCAGGUAGGGAUACCCGCUGAACUUAA
rnacentral:misc_RNA from 1 species